GCCGACUUAGCUCAGCUGGUAGAGCGACGGUAUCGUAAACCGUAGGUCCGGGGUUCGAUUCCCCGAGUCGGCUCCA
rnacentral:tRNA from 1 species